rnacentral:lncRNA from 1 species
CUUUUCGAGGUAGGAGUCGACUCCUGUGAGGUAUGGUGCUGGGUGCAGAUGCAGUGUGGCUCUGGAUAGCACCUUAUGGACAGUUGUGUCCCCAAGGAAGGAUGAGAAUAGCUACUGAAGUCCUAAAGAGCAAGCCUAACUCAAGCCAUUGGCACACAGGCAUUAGACAGAAAGCUGGAAGUUGAAAUGGUGGAGUCCAACUUGCCUGGACCAGCUUAAUGGUUCUGCUCCUGGUAACGUUUUUAUCCAUGGAUGACUUGCUUGGGUAAGGACAUGAAGACAGUUCCUGUCAUACCUUUUAAAGGUAUGGAGAGUCGGCUUGACUACACUGUGUGGAGCAAGUUUUAAAGAAGCAAAGGACUCAGAAUUCAUGAUUGAAGAAAUGCAGACCUGUUAUCCUAAACUAGGGUUUUUAAUGACCACAACAAGCAAGCAUGCAGCUUACUGCUUGAAAGGGUCUUGCCUCACCCAAGCUAGAGUGCAGUGGCCUUUGAAGCUUACUACAGCCUCAAACUUCUGGGCUCAAGUGAUCCUCAGCCUCCCAGUGGUCUUUGUAGACUGCCUGAUGGAGUCUCAUGGCACAAGAAGAUUAAAACAGUGUCUCCAAUUUUAAUAAAUUUUUGCAAUCCAU